AUGUGGGAAGUGGACAGGGUGGGGGCUGCGUCACCCAGAGCAGCUUCAGGGAGAGGAGGAGACCCCAUGUGCCCCGAAGGGAGUAGGACAGCUGUCGGUGCAGGGACGGGGCGGCGAAGGGCCCUGACAGGGACACUGGGCAGGCUGUGCAGGGGAUCCGCCUGUGCCUCCCCCUCACAUAGAGAAGUAGCAGCACCUACUGUGUGCGGCCAGGGCAGGGACAGGACAGACCCUGUGCCUGGCACCUCCAGUGCAGAGGGAGGACCCAGACAGACAAGGGAGGUGGGAGGGGGGUCAGCUCCCCGGAGGCAGGCCGGGGCGCUCACACCAUGGAUGGAGGGCUCCCCCCUGUGGGGACAUCCAGCCCCGCCUGCUGCCCAGGCCUGCCCCUGCCUGGGUGGCCUUGGGGGUGGCUGGGGUGGGCCCGGGGUCGGGCUGGACCAUCCCCAGGGGCUCAGGGGUCUGCGUGGGAGGGAGGGCCAGGCCCCUGAGCUGCUGUCUGCCCUCCUGCCUUCAGGGCACCUGGCGGGACCGGUCCUCGGAGGACCUCUGUCAGCCCUCAGACACGUGUGUGUCCGACCUGGGAGCAGGAGGUCGGGGCGCAGGACAGUGGAGAGGGCCAGGCGGGCUGCGAUGCCUCCAGGGGGGCUUCCAGGCACUGUCUCUGCAGAGCGCCACACAGGAGAUGGGCAGGGGGCUGGGCAGCGGACACCUGCUCCAGCUUCUGGAGGGAGGGCAGGGGCACCACCCCGCCAGUGCAGGCCAGUAGAGGCUCAGGAUGGGUGCAGCCAAGGAAGGGUUUCCAGAUCCAGGGCCCGGAGAAGGCCGGGGAAGUCCUCCUGGCCAGAUGCUGCCCGGGUCACUGCCCUGCUGGUCCUGAACCUGACUCUGCUCCUAGAGGCAGAGCUCACGAGGCCGAGCCUGAGGGCACCCGCAUUCCAGAGGCAGGCCUCUACAUGCUCACUUGGUUGGAGAUCAUCUAUCCAAGAGCAUGUUUUCCUGCUGCUUCCACAUGUCUGGAUGUUGCCGAGGGAGGACUGCACGCCCUGCCAGCAGUGCCACCCACGGGGAGUGUCCUGGCAGGGCUCCCCGACGCCUCUGGCCACUUAGAAGGAAGGGUCGAAAG
rnacentral:lncRNA from 1 species